rnacentral:rRNA from 1 species
AUUGAACGCUGGCGGCAGGCCUAACACAUGCAAGUCGAACGGUAACAGGAAGAAGCUUGCUUCUUUGCUGACGAGUGGCGGACGGGUGAGUAAUGUCUGGGAAACCGCCUGAUGGAGGGGGAUAACUACUGGAAACGGUAGCUAAUACCGCAUAACGUCGCAAGACCAAAGAGGGGGACCUUCGGGCCUCUUGCCAUCGGAUGUGCCCAGAUGGGAUUAGCUAGUAGGUGGGGUAACGGCUCACCUAGGCGACGACCCCUAGCUGGUCUGAGAGGAUGACCAGCCACACUGGAACUGAGACACGGUCCAGACUCCUACGGGAGGCAGCAGUGGGGAAUAUUGCACAAUGGGCGCAAGCCUGAUGCAGCCAUGCCGCGUGUAUGAAGAAGGCCUUCGGGUUGUAAAGUACUUUCAGCGGGGAGGAAGGGAGUAAAGUUAAUACCUUUGCUCAUUGACGUUACCCGCAGAAGAAGCACCGGCUAACUCCGUG